rnacentral:lncRNA from 1 species
CCCUUCUUUUCACAAUACAAUUAUGCAUUACGCAUUACUUAAUUAAUUAAGAUACAUGGAGAAACGGAUAUUUAGAGUUAAUAUAGCUGCGGGCUUCCACUAGUCUGGGAUUGGGGCGUAAUUGUAUCAAAUAGACACAAAAAUUAGAUAAAUUGAUUAGGCAAGGGAGUACCAUUCUCAAUUCCAUUUUCUACUCUAUGAAAACAAAUUGAAACCGCUUGCUGAUUCGACAAAGAAAGAAUUGGAAAACCUUGAGUAUGAAAUGAGGUUGACCUAAAAUUAUAUGUGACACAAGAAAGACCAAGAAGACACAAAACAAACACCCAAAAUAGUCCAUAGUAAAGAAAACAGUGGACUCUUUGGAUGACCCCUCUCGGAUUCAAAGAACAACAACAAGAACACAAUGUAUUGUGGUGUUUAACACCUAAAAACAGCCAACCAACAAACUAACAAGAUGGAUAACAAGAUGGAACAACAACAAGAUGAAUAACAACAACAAGUUACAGGUUCACUAGAAACAAGAGGAACAAUUACAAGUUACAAACACUAACAAGAUUACAAUAAAAGAAACAAGGGAUAGAUAGAUAGACUACACGAAGAUGUAACCUUAAAAACCCAAGAGCCUAUUCCACUCUUGGACCUUUAACACUACACACAACAAUUCACCUAUCUCUUAUGUUACACGAUAUCGGAUUCCACCUCUCAAGCGCCAACAUUUCCAAGCAAACACAAUCACUAGUGAUUCCACACUAGAUCUUGCCCUAGUUUCGGUUGGUGGCUUUUCCAAGCCCUAACUAUUGUGUUUCAAGUUUUACAAGACUUACAAUAAUAUCCAAAAACUAAAUCUAUAAACCCUACAAUGUUCCUUAUAUAACAACUACAAAAUAUAACUUAAAAUGACCAAAAGUCCCUUCAAAGAGUGGGCACCCAUCUAGUGUAAUUUAUGGGCUGAUUUGGCUGCAUUUUGGGCCUCUUUUACACUUCAAUUCACAUGUCAAGGCUCGGGUCCAACAUGCACUCUCCUAAGUCUAUAUCCGUGAUUAUUCCCAU